UACGGGGGAUGCAAGCGUUAUCCGGAUUUAUUGGGCGUAAAGCGCCUGUAGGUUGUUUAAUAAGUCUGUUGUUAAAGACUAGGGCUUAACCCCAGGAAAGCAAUGGAAACUACUAGACUUGAGUAUGAUAGGGGUAGAGGGAAUUUCUAGUGUAGCGGUGAAAUGCGUAGAUAUUAGAAAGAACACCGGCGGCGAAAGCGCUCUACUGGACCAUUACUGACACUCAGAGGCGAAAGCUAGGGGAGCAAAAGGGAUUAGAUACCCCUGUAGUCCUAGCCGUAAACGAUGGAUACUAGAUGUUGCGCAAUUUGUGCAGUAUCUUAGCUAACGCGUUAAGUAUCCCGCCUGGGGAGUACGCUCGCAAGGGUG
rnacentral:rRNA from 1 species